UAGUGUUACAGCUCUUUUAGAAUUUGUCUAACCAGUGUUUCAGUUUUUACCAGAAAGCCUUC
ensembl:snRNA U7 U7 small nuclear RNA